GAAUGGCAGACUAAUCUGGAGACUGGAGGCCUGGGGUUGGCAGUGGGGACGAGGGAGCAUGAAAGUGAGGGACGACGGAAAGACCCAGAGAGAAGGAAGAGGGAAAGGAGACAGAGAGAGAAGGAUGGACAGAGAAGAAGAAUUAGCAGAAGCGGAAUUGAAAGGGCCAGAUCCCCAGGCAGAGACCGGGAGGUGGGUCUGGCUGAGUAGGAGAGACAGAGAGGGCAUGCAGAAUGAAGAGACAACCUGGACAGAGGGGAGACGGGACUGGACCCAGAGGCAAGAGUCCAAAAGAGAAAGAUGAGCAAGCAGGAAGAGUUGGGGGAGGGAUCAGACAGUGUCCCCAGCAGGGGAGGGGCAGAGGCUGCCCUGCAGACCAUCCACACCCCCACCCUGCCCCGUAGUCCAGCCUCUACCCUGUGCGGCCCCAAACCAGACGCCCGGAGGCAGCCGAGGAAAUGAGAAGAAACUGGAUCCCUGGGCCAGGAGCCCGGUGAGGGGCCACCAGCCUGUUGCACAUUAUCCUGUGAGAAGAGGAGCCAGGUGGGAAACUGAGGCCCAGUGAGGGGAAGGGCUUCUCUGAGUUCUGCGUGUGUCCAGGGGCCAUCUGCAGAAGAUGAUGCUGGCCCUCACUGGCCUCCCUGCUGCCUGACUGCAGCGCACCAGAGCUGCCCUCGCCCUGGAGUCAGCGGUCAGCCUGGUGUUUACUGGGAGAGGAGGCCCUCUGGGGUGGAGCUGCGGGGAGCUGUGUGCCCCUAAGCACACCUAAGUGUCUGUAAAUACAGGAUGGAGUGGACGUGAGGCAGGGAGGCAGCAUGGUGGCGACAGGCCCAGCCUGCCCAGAGAGCCCUGUGGCCGGAGGUAAUUGGUGCCUUAUUAACUGUCUGAGAGAGGGAGCCAGCCCCACUGGGCCACUUCCCGGAACCUCCUCCACGUCCUUCACUCUGGGCAGCCCCAGCUCGGCUCUCCACACCCAGGGAGGCUCUUGCUCCCUGGCCCCUUGGGCUGGUGGCCACCAUGCCCCUCAGUGAAGGGUCCUCUGGUCAGUUCCAAGCCUCCAACCAGAGCUCCCUCCACGUGGCCGGGAUUCCCGCACUCUCAGGCUUUGGCGGAUGGCCUAUUUACCCUCAGACCAGGCUCUGAGGACAAGGUUGGGGUGCACCUCAGAGCAGGGUCUUCUGGAGCAGGACUGCUCCCUUCAAGACACGGACUCCAUGUCCACCAAGGAGGGACACACACCCUCGGCUUGGGCAGCGACCAGCUCUGACGCCGGCCAGCGUGGCAGCUGCCUUUCUUUGGAUGAAGGCACUGCCAUCAGCAGGAGGCGCCAUCAGAGUGCAGGCAUCUCCAGAAUAAUGGCAGGCAUCUCUCCUCGUUGGCCCGCCAUCUCCCAUUCUGCCAAAGGGCCUCUGUGGCCAUGUCCUGACCAUUCCAAUGGGGAAGGGGGAGCCACAGUUCGUCGCUGGUCGGCCACAAAUCCAGCCCAACCAGGGAAGGAAAAAAUGGAAACAGCCUUUAUCUGAAGGCCUGUCUUCACCACAGCCCUGGGAGGCUGAGACGAUCACAAAGCAUCAAGACUUGAUGGAGGGGUCUGAGAACAAGGGAUCUGAUGCCCUCAUUUUUCACAUGGGGAAACGGAGCCUCGGAGAGGCCAGGUGACGUGCCCGAGGUUCUUUGGUGGGUCAGAGUGAAGCCAAGACUGGAGGGCAGGUCUUCAGGUUCCUGCCAAGGCCCAGUCUGCCAGCCUCACCCAGCCUCUUCCUCCUCCCUUCUCUGCUGGACAAGAGGCCACCUCCUCCUUGAUCUCCAGCAAGGACUCAGAGAAGUGUCUGGGCAGCUGGAAGGUAUAUUUGGGGGAGCCUGAAUUCUAUGUCCUGUGCCACCCCAGCCUCACCUCUGGUCAUUGGUUCGGAGGGAGUGUCCAGGUGGGCACUGUAAGUCCAGCAGGCCAGGACUCUAGGCUCCCUGUUGUCUUGCUCCUGCCCUUGCCUAGAUGCCUCCGUGCCCUCCCUGCCCUGGUGUGGGCCCUGGUGGUCUCCCUGCCCUCCUGUGGAUCCCACUGCCUCUGCUCCUCCUCACGACAUCUCACAGGGCCCUGCCUCCUCCUGAGGACCAUCCCAGCUGCUGGACCCUGCUCCAGCUAUCUCUUGCUCCCUUCACACCUGCUGGAUGCCAUGGCCUCCUCUGGGCCCUGCUGGGACACCUGGGCACUUCCUAGGGCCCAAGCCUCGCUGGCUCUGUGGAGUUUCCAGCAAGCACACCAUCACUGGGUUCUAGCAGUGGGAGCAGGUGCCGGCUGGUGCCACGUCAUGCCCACUCCAGGCCCCACAGUGGGACUGCCUGGGUCCUGCAGGUUCCAGAGCUUUAAGGAAAUUCCUCUUUCACUGUGCUUGUGCCUCACCACCACAAUUAAUACACUUGUCUUUAUAUCCACCAAGUCAUCAAAUUCCGCAUUUAGUAUUUUUUAUGGAGGAAGGGACCCACAAAAGCAAAAGAACCCCGAGCUCACAACAAUCACAGUGCGGCUUGGGGCGCCACCCUGGCCACCACCACCACCACUGAGGCCAAAGACAGUGUUCGGGGAGGGGCCGGAGAUGGGCACGCUCCAGCCGUGCUCACUCAGACUGACCCCUCUGACAAGUAAAGCGUAGUCCUGGGCUGAGCGGUGUGCGCAUUUCUCUCCUUCAUCGUGAGUCCUUCACCCCUCUUGACUGCCCUGCCAAGUCACACCUGACCCAGGUGCUACCACACAGGCCAGUUUGACCCUUCCUUCUCCCUGACAGUGAACG